UUACAUCUCUCAUUUUAUAUAAAAUAUCUUAUGAUGCUAUAUAUACAUUUUAGUACGGAGAAAAUAAUUUGCUACUCACUUAAAAUGCAUGUCAAACUUUUUAUUUCAAGAAUUAACAAAAAGUUACAUCUACAAUUUAAAAACAAUAACCAAAUUAAUGUCUUUUUAGUUUCAAAAUGUUAUGUCCAAAUCUAUUAACCAUUCAAUCUAUUAAAAAUAAAAAAAUACUUAAGUGAAAGUUAUAUUUUUAAAUACAAAAAAAUUGAGAAAAGAAAAAAUUCUAUAUAUUUUUUUUUCAAAAUCUAAAUAUCCGAAUCCGAUCU
rnacentral:lncRNA from 1 species